UCUUGUUGCUGCAGCAUGACUUGAAUCUAUAUUAUUUUGUAUGGAAAAUCAGGUCAAGAGGGAAAAGAGUGAAUCUUUUUCCUUCAUAACAAACUCACCUAUGUGUCCUAAGAUUUUCCGGCACCAGUUGCCUAGGGAAAUAUGGAAAGCAUGUUUGACGUCGCAGGUGUCAAGGAUGGAAAUACAAUUAAUUCACCAUGUACAAAUA